UUAAUACCCAGUAGGGUGCCGUCUGACCGGAACUGUGCCUGUACAGUCUGGAUUCAGGCGUCGACUCUUACAGGAUCGCGAUGAAAUUUGUUCUGGGUGGAUUCGCUAAACUCUUACAGAACUCGCCGCCUGUUUUCCCUGUUCGUCGGGUAGCUUGCGGUUAAACUAAUUGACGAAAUAAGCAUGUAGAUCUGAAGGCGGAGGAUUUGCGGACGCGGGUUCGAUUCCCGCCGCCUCCACCA
rnacentral:tmRNA from 1 species